GGCUCCAGGCUCUGAGCCUGGCUCUCAGCUAUCAGCAUAGGGCUCGACGUACGGCUCGAAUUCCCUAGCUGUGAAAUCACAACCUGAGCUGAAGUCGGAUGCUCAACUGAACCAUUCAGGUGCCCCUACUGAGAAGAAGUCUUAACACAAAAAUGGCUGGCUGUAUUAAAUUUAUGAUCAGAAUUAUCUAGCACAAUAAACAGUCAUGUGGGCAAAGAACAUUUGCAGGUAUUAAUGGAAGUGGAGGGGAGAGAGAUUGAAGUAUCAAAAUAUACAACAUAGUAACUUUACGCUGAAGUUGCAUUAAAUUUUAGUCACAACACAAAAAUGCCAUGUAUUUUUUGAGUACAUGUAUUAAUUAGUAAGCACUGAUAUUAGCUAUUAUGGGUCAAGCACUUACUGAAGUAGGUAUUCUACUUUUUAUAGAUAAGGAAACCCCAAAGUAAUUUGUCCAAGGCCAUACAGCCAGCAUAUGGGAGAACCCAUGUAUUAUUUUGAUAAUUAUUUUGAAAGUCCUGUCAUGGUAUCAAAACUUUAAGCCAGUAGUUUUAUUUUUAUUAAGGCUUCUAAUUUAUAUCUAAGAAUCAUUUGUAACUAAAAAUUGAAGCAUAUACCUAUGAACAUUUUAGGUUUGACAAACAUUUUGUAACUUGCCCGUUCUUAGUAGACAAAACUAUUUACAAAUUUUAUGUAGUAUGCAUGAACAUAGUCCCGAAUACAAAUAACUGAUUCUUA